UACGUAGGUGGCAAGCGUUGUCCGGAUUUACUGGGCGUAAAGCGCACGCAGGCGGUCGUAUAAGUCGAAUGUGAAAGCCCCCGGCUCAACUGGGGAGGGUCAUUCGAUACUAUUCGACUAGAAGGCAGGAGAGGGAAGUGGAAUUCCCGGUGUAGUGGUGAAAUGCGUAGAUAUCGGGAGGAACACCAGUGGCGAAGGCGACUUCCUGGCCUGUUCUUGACGCUGAUGUGCGAAAGCUAGGGGAG
rnacentral:rRNA from 1 species